UCCUUUCCAUUCCAUCCCAAUUCCUUUCCAUUUCAUCCAAAUUCCAUUCCAUUCCAUCCCAAUUCCAUUCCUUUCCAAUACAUUCCAAUUCCAUGCCAUCCCAAUUCCUUUCCAUUCCGUCCCAAUUCGAUCCAAAUUCCAUCCCAUUCCAUUCCGUUCUUUUCUAUUCCAUCCCAAUUCCAUUUCAUUCUUUUCCAUUCCAUCCCAAUUCCAUCCCAUUCCUUUCCAAUUGCAUCCCAAUUCCAUUCCAUUCCAUCCCAAUUCCAUUCUUUUCCAAUUCCAUACCAAUUCCUUUCCAUUCCAUCCCAAUUCCAUCCCAUUUCCAUCCCAAUUCCAUCCCAUUCCUUUCCAAUUGCAUCCCAAUUCCAUUCCAUUCCAUCCCAAUUCCAUUCUUUUCCAAUUCCAUACCAUUUCCUUUCCAUUCCAUCCCAAUUCCAUCCCAUUUCCAUCCCAAUUCCAUCCCAUUCCUUUCCAUUCCAUCCCAAUUCAAUUCUUUUCCAAUUCCAUCCCAAUUCCUUUCCAUUCCUUUCCAUUCUAGUUCCAUCCCAUUCCAUUCUAAUUCCAUCCCAUUCCUUUCCAAUUCCAUCCCGUUCUAUCCCAAUUCAAUUCUUUUCCAAUUCCAUCCCAUCCCUUUCCAUUCCAUCCCAAUUCCAUCCCAAUUCCAUCCCAUUCCUUUCCAAUUCCAUCCCAUUCCAUCCCAAUUCAAUUCUUUUCCAAUUCCAUCCCAAUUCCAUUCCAUUCCAUUUCCAUCCCAUCCCUUUCCAUUCAAUCCCAAUUCCAUUCCAUCCCAAUUCCAUCCCAUCCCUUUCCAUUCAAUCCCAAUUCCAUUCCUUUCCAUUCCAUCCCAUUCCUUUCCAUUCCAUCCCAUCCCAAUUCAAUUCCUUUCCAAUUCCAUCCCAAUUCCAUCCCGUUUCAUCCCAAUUCAAUUAUUUUCCAAUUCCAUCCCAAUUCCUUUCCAUUUCAUUCCAUUCCAAUUCCAUCCUAUUCCAUCCCAUUCCAUUCCAUUCCAUUCCAUCCCAUUCCAUUCCUUUUCACUUCCAUCCCAAUUCCAUCCCAUCCCAUUCCAUUCCAAUUCCAUUCCAUUUCAUUCUUUUUCACUUCCAUCCCAAUUCCAUCCCAUCCCAUCCCAUUCCAUUCCAUUCCAUUCCAUCCCAAUUCCAUCCCAUCACAUUCCAUUCCAUUCCAUUCCAUCCCAUUCCAUUCCUUUUCACUUCCAUCCCAAUUCCAUCCCAUCCCAUUCCAUUCCAUUCCAUUCCAUCCCAAUUCCAUCCCAUCCCAUUCCAUUCCAUUCCAUUCCAUUCCAUCCCAAUUCCAUCCCAUCACAUUCCAUUCCAUUCCAUUCCAUCCCAUUCCAUUCCUUUUCACUUCCAUCCCAAUUCCAUCCCAUCCCAUUCCAUUCCAAUUCCAUUCCAUUUCAUUCUUUUUCACUUCCAUCCCAAUUCCAUCCCAUCCCAUUCCAUUACAUUCCAUUCCAUCCCAUUCCAUCCCAAUUCCAUCCCAUCCCAUCCCAAUUCCAUUCCAUCCCAUCCCAAUUCCAUUCUGUUCCACCCCAAUUCCGUGAUGUCCCCUCACGUUACGUGCCAUUAUUCUCCAAGGUCCCUUCCAAUUGAGCCACUUCCCGUGUUCCGCGUUCCCUUCGUUCCCUUCGUUCCCUUCGUUCCCGUUCUAUGAAGUUAUAUAUUUUGUCUCAAACAUAAACAUGAAAACCAUAUCAGGGGCACAGCUGGGGCACAGCUGGAUGGA
rnacentral:lncRNA from 1 species